AUGCCAGGCCCCACUGAAGCAGAACGUCAGAACCAGCUGUGGCUCCUGCUCCUAGGAGCUGUACCAUCAACCCUACACACCCAUGCACCCGCACCAGCCCCGGGACGGGGCCUCAGCACAGGCAGUGGGGGAUUGCGCAGGAGGGGGGCCGGCAGUGAGGGCCUUGCUCAUGGUGGUCUCAGGGUGACCCUGAUUUGGAGGAUGGGGGUGCUAGCCAGAGGCAGCCUGGAGAGGAGCUGCAACUGGUGGCCCGUGCAUCUCCUAAUCCUCCUUACAUUUCAGUUGGAACCUCAUCACGGGCACCAUAAGGAGACGGAGUUAUAAAUGAACCAGCACACCACACUGCAACAUGUGCUCAGCCGGGAGAAUGUGGACUGCAGAGGAGAAGGCUCCAUAGAGGGGAUGACAUUUGAAGGAGGUCAUGAAAGUGGGUCCCCCCAACAGCCCCAGUCUCUCUACACAGGCCCAAGUCAGGCUCCAACUCUGGGUCUCACAGAUCUGCCUUCUGGGAAUCCAUGGGGUGGCCCAAGGCAGCCUGCACUCCCCAGCAGGAGGUCACACAGCCAACUUCAUCCAAAGCCUUCCAGUACCUCACCACUGGCUUUGCCAACAUGGCGGACAUUUCCCCUUCUCAGAACAUAAGGGAGUGAGAUUCCCUGGCUGCUCUUUCCAUGAAUGAGCACAGAACGAGGGGGGUGGGGAGGGAGGGCUGCAGAGCUUGAGGAAGGGGCUCUUGGAAGGUUCCUGGAGGGUGAGAGGGAACAGGAGGGGAGGAGACGACAUCGGUGGCUCAGAGGUUGGGGCCCACCCAGUGCUGGAGCCCAUCUGGAUCCUGACGUACACUCCCAGAAGUUCAGAGUUGGCACCAACCCACUUCAAGGCCUUAAUGAGGGUGCUCUGGCCUAGGCCUGCCCCCUCCCCCCUCCCCUCCAAGUGCUGACUUUGAAUUAGAUGUGAUCAACGAGGGAAAAAUGACUGUAGCAAUCAAGUUCAUGGUAAAUGCUUGUGUGUGUGUGUGUGUGUGUGUGUGUCCCCUCACUUAAACAAUUUCUGUGCAUUCUUGAUUCUGGGACUAUCCUCUGUCUUUCCCUCUAGAGAAUCUUAUGGGAUUCCAUACUUGGUUUAGAAUGUAUGAGAAACACCUACCCCAGGCCUUGCACAUAGUAAGAGCGUAGUGAAUGUAUGCUCCUUUUCCUUAGCACUCAAAGUGGCCACUGGGGGUUGAGGGCAAAGGGGCUUCCCCAGGCUAGAAGCUGAUGGGCCUUUGGUCCUUGCCUUCCCCUUCCUUCUCUAGCUGAUGACAGACACCUGGAUGUCAUAACAUACUCUGUGUCCUCAUCUGUUAUUCUCGGACACAGGCUAAACCCUCUGGGGAGGGUACUGAGUGGGUCCCCUCUGACUGGGGCUGGACUUUCUUGCACCGUGGGCUGGCCUGUACCAGUCCCAGGGAUAGAUGCAGAAGGGUGAGGCACUGAUCCUGCUCGUUGGGCAGGAUGCUGGUAGGAGGGCGGGCUGAGCAAGGGCGGGGCUUCCAGAACAAAGGAGAAUGGGGAGCCCUGGGGGCCUAGGCUAGGCAUCAAAAAGGCUCUGCAGAGUGAGCAGGCCAUAGCAGCUGCCUGUCUCUGUGCCCAGCAGUCAGUCAGACAACCUGCGCCGGGCCCCUUCCACCUGCCCCAGACGGGCAGCAAACAACACUCAGAGAGGCCUUGUUCUCCAGCGUGAUUGCGCCCACACUGCUCUGUGGUUUGCUCUACUUGGCGUGGGUUGCUGCUGCAG
ensembl:lncRNA